rnacentral:rRNA from 1 species
CGAGAGGCUUCGGCAAUGGGGGAAACCCUGACCGAGCGACGCCGCGUGGGCGAUGAAGGCCUUCGGGUUGUAAAGCCCUUUCAGGUGGGAAGAAAGGCGGCGGGUGAAUAAUCCGUUCGCUGUGACGGUACCACCAGAAGAAGCUCCGGCUAACUCCGUGCCAGCAGCCGCGGUAAUACGGGGGGAGCAAGCGUUGUUCGGAUUCAUUGGGCGUAAAGGGCGCGUAGGCGGCCCGGUUAGUCCGUCAUGAAAUGUACCGGUUCAACCGGGGCACUGUGUCGGAAACUGCUGGGCUAGAGGUCGAGGGAGGAAAGUGGAAUUCCUGGUGUAGCGGUGAAAUGCGUAGAUAUCAGGAGGAACACCCGUGGCGAAGGCGGCUUUCUAUCUCGAAUCUGACGCUGAGGCGCGAAAGCUAGGGGAGCAA